AGGGGCAGCAUGAAGUUUGCUUGCAAACUUUGAUGGCGACCGGCGCACGGGUGAGUAACGCGUAUCCAACCUUCCCUAUAGUAGAGAAUAGCCCGGCGAAAGUCGGAUUAAUGCUCUAUGUUAUUCAAAGCGGACAUCUAAUUUGAAUCAAAGGUUCACCGCUAUAGGAUGGGGAUGCGUCUGAUUAGCUUGAUGGCGGGGUAACGGCCCACCAUGGCGACGAUCAGUAGGGGUUCUGAGAGGAAGGUCCCCCACAUUGGAACUGAGACACGGUCCAAACUCCUACGGGAGGCAGCAGUGAGGAAUAUUGGUCAAUGGGCGAGAGCCUGAACCAGCCAAGUAGCGUGCAGGAUGACGGCCCUAUGGGUUGUAAACUGCUUUUAUGCGGGGAUAAAGUCGGCUACGCGUAGCCGUUUGUAGGUACCGCAUGAAUAAGGACCGGCUAAUUCCGUGCCAGCAGCCGCGGUAAUACGGAAGGUCCGGGCGUUAUCCGGAUUUAUUGGGUUUAAAGGGAGCGCAGGCCGGAGGUCAAGCGUGACGUGAAAUGUAGCCGCUCAACGGCUGAGUUGCGUCGCGAACUGGUUUCCUUGAGUGAGUACGACGUCAGCGGAAUUCGUGGUGUAGCGGUGAAAUGCUUAGAUAUCACGAAGAACCCCGAUUGCGAAGGCAGCUGACGAGUCCUUUACUGACGCUAAAGCUCGAAGGUGCGGGUAUCGAACAGGAUUAGAUACCCUGGUAGUCCGCACGGUAAACGAUGGAUGCCCGCUGUUUGCGAUAUAUUGUAAGCGGCCAAGCGAAAGCGUUAAGCAUCCCACCUGGGGAGUACGCCGGCAACGGUGAAACUCAAAGGAAUUGACGGGGGCCCGCACAAGCGGAGGAACAUGUGGUUUAAUUCGAUGAUACGCGAGGAACCUUACCCGGGCUUGAACUGCAGGAGAACGAUCCAGAGAUGGUGAGGCCCUUCGGGGCUCCUGUGGAGGUGCUGCACGGUUGUCGUCAGCUCGUGCCGUGAGGUGUCGGCUUAAGUGCCAUAACGAGCGCAACCCCUUUCGCCAGUUGCCAUCAGGUGAUGCUGGGCACUC
rnacentral:rRNA from 1 species